rnacentral:rRNA from 1 species
AUUGAACGCUGGCGGCAUGCCUUACACAUGCAAGUCGAACGGUAACAGGUCUUCGGAUGCUGACGAGUGGCGAACGGGUGAGUAAUACAUCGGAACGUGCCUAGUAGUGGGGGAUAACUACUCGAAAGAGUGGCUAAUACCGCAGGAGAUCUACGGAUGAAAGCAGGGGAUCGCAAGACCUUGUGCUACUAGAGCGGCCGAUGGCAGAUUAGGUAGUUGGUGGGAUAAAAGCUUACCAAGCCGACGAUCUGUAGCUGGUCUGAGAGGACGAACAGCCACACAGGGGCUGGGACACGGCCCAGACGCCGACGGGAGGCAGCAGUGGGGAAGUUUGGACAAUGGGCGCAAGCCUGAUCCAGCAAUGCCGCGUGCAGGAUGAAGUCCUUCGGGUUGUAAACUGCUUUUGUACGGAACGAAAAGCCCUGGGUUAAUACCCUGGGGUCAUGACGGUACCGUAAGAAUAAGCACCGGCUAACUACGUGCCAGCCGCCGCCGUAACAC